GGAAUUCUUCUUCAUUGGUGAUCGUCAGUGUUUGAUUGGCAAACUCGAGCAGUUCUUCACACGACAGCAGAGCGAACUUUCCCUCCGACAGUUGCGUCUGAAACACCAAAUAUUAAUUAAUAACAGUAGAAGUAGGUCACUGAUGAUGCAGUUACACUGUAAAACUACAGACUGAAGGCCAAACAGGUUCAUGACACAGCUGUGUAAUCAGAUUACUCUGGAUGGAUGGUGAUACAGAGAGAGAGAGAGAGACAGAGAGAGAGAGACAGAGAGAGGGAGAGAGAGAGGGAGAGAGGAAGAGGCACUGACAGGAAGUGAAGUCACGCACAACAUCACAGCAACACUUCCUUUCUGGAGUGUCAAAGAAAUCUGAUCAACAGCAUCAACGUUCGUCUCCUUCUUUUUCACCUUCUGAUGAAACUCACCUGUUGGUCUAUGUCACCUUCAUCACCUGUGGGGAGACUGACUUCUGACUGAGGAGUGGAAGCUGUUUGGGGCGUUCCCCUCUCAGCCAAUCACAGUGUGAGGACGCCCUUUUGUGAAGGCUUAAAAGAGGUGGGGGAAGUCACAGGUGGCUCUGACCCUCAUUCUGAAUCUGUCCCCUCAGAUCACCAGACAGAAGCUCUGCUCCGUUUAGGCCCUGCUGUAUUUUAUUGGCUGCUUCACAUCAUUCUAUUGAGGAAACGGUGUUUGUUUUGGAACUCCUUGAAACCCAAAACCUUACAUACACCGAACCCUGACCUGAUGGAGUUGGGCUUGUAGGAGCACCUUUCAUUCUGAUUAUAUCUGAAGUUUAUUGUUUUAUUGUCCAAGUAUCUGAAAUUGAACUCGCCUCCAGAUUUGCAUGUUUUUUAACCUGUUGGUCUACGUCGCCGGCUCAUUGUGUCAUCACAAAAUCAUUUUAAUCUAACAGAGUUGAUCAAUAUUUUACUCUGGAUUAUUCCAACUGAACAGAAAUGAGGAAGGUUAUUGAUCAGUUGAUCGAACAAUCAUCACAACCUCAGUAUGGUUCAAUCAGCUGAUCUACAGAGGCCCUGAAGUGUCACAGUAUCAGCUUCCCUCCAUGGAUCACAACAAAUAAACUACAUUUUCCUUUGGAUUCAGUUUGAAAUGAACUUCUAGCCUCCUCAAAAGUUAUUUUUCUCAGAUUGAAAUGAAGCAAAGUUUUUAAUUGAAUUCUGAAAAUGUGUAAUUUUCUUGAGAGAACAGACAAAAAUAAAUAUCAGAGCAGCUGAAAGUUUAAGAGGAAAUGACUCGAACACAAAGUCACUUUGUUCUGAGUCAAAUUCAGAUUCUGUCAAUUUCUCUGACAAGAAAAUGUUUGUUCUGAUCAAGCUCACAGAUUUUUACCCCUUUAAAAAUAUUACAAAUGUUUUAAUG